rnacentral:rRNA from 1 species
GAUGAACGCUGGCGGCGUGCCUAAUACAUGCAAGUCGAGCGAACAGACGAGGAGCUUGCUCCUCUGACGUUAGCGGCGGACGGGUGAGUAACACGUGGAUAACCUACCUAUAAGACUGGUAUAACUUCGGGAAACCGGAGCUAAUACCGGAUAAUAUAUUGAACCGCAUGGUUCAAUAGUGAAAGACGGUUUUGCUGUCACUUAUAGAUGGAUCCGCGCCGCAUUAGCUAGUUGGUAAGGUAACGGCUUACCAAGGCAACGAUGCGUAGCCGACCUGAGAGGGUGAUCGGCCACACUGGAACUGAGACACGGUCCAGACUCCUACGGGAGGCAGCAGUAGGGAAUCUUCCGCAAAGGGCGAAAGCCUGACGGAGCAACGCCGCGUGAGUGAUGAAGGUCUUCGGAUCGUAAAACUCUGUUAUUAGGGAAGAACAAAUGUGUAAGUAACUAUGCACGUCUUGACGGUACCUAAUCAGAAAGCCACGGCUAACUACGUG